UCUCUAUGCGGUGCCAGCCGCCGCGGUAAUACGAAGGGGGGCUAGCGUUGUUCGGAAUUACUGGGCGUAAAGCGCACGUAGGCGGAUAUUUAAGUCAGGGGUGAAAUCCCAGAGCUCAACUCUGGAACUGCCUUUGAUACUGGGUAUCUUGAGUAUGGAAGAGGUAAGUGGAAUUCCGAGUGUAGAGGUGAAAUUCGUAGAUAUUCGGAGGAACACCAGUGGCGAAGGCGGCUUACUGGUCCAUUACUGACGCUGAGGUGCGAAAGCGUGGGGAGCAAACAGGAUUAGAUACCCCUGGUAGUCCACGCCGUAAACGAUGAAUGUUAGCCGUUCGGGCAGUAUACUGUUCGGUGGCGCAGCUAACGCAUUAACA
rnacentral:rRNA from 1 species